AUUGAACGCUGGCGGCAGGCCUAACACAUGCAAGUCGAGCGGAUGAAGGGAGCUUGCUCCUGGAUUCAGCGGCGGACGGGUGAGUAAUGCCUAGGAAUCUGCCUGGUAGUGGGGGAUAACGUCCGGAAACGGGCGCUAAUACCGCAUACGUCCUGAGGGAGAAAGUGGGGGAUCUUCGGACCUCACGCUAUCAGAUGGGCCUAGGUCGGAUUAGCUAGUUGGUGGGGUAAAGGCCUACCAAGGCGACGAUCCGUAAUUGGUCUGAGAGGAUGAUCAGUCACACUGGAACUGAGACACGGUCCAGACUCCUACGGGAGGCAGCAGUGGGGAAUAUUGGACAAUGGGCGAAAGCCUGAUCCAGCCAUGCCGCGUGUGUGAAGAAGGUCUUCGGAUUGGAAAGCACUUUAAGUUGGGAGGAAGGGCAGUAAGUUAAUACCUUGCUGUUUUGACGUUACCAACAGAAUAAGCACCGGCUAACUUCGUG
rnacentral:rRNA from 1 species